rnacentral:lncRNA from 1 species
GUUGUGUUAUUGUACUAUUGUUUGUCUGUUUGUCUUUUUCAUUUUUAGCCAUGGCAUUGUCAGUUUAUUUUCGAUUUAUGAGUUUGACUGUCCCUCUGGUAUCUUUCGUCCCUCUUUUACACAGAAACACAGCUUUCCUUUAAGGAUACAGUCUUCAAGCACUCUAGUACUUCUCAGAUUUUAAUGCUGACCAAUUAGUAUUACAUGCCUUCUCAGGAUGAUUGAUUGAUUGAUUGUUGGUUUGCUU